AAACGAAUAAGUCGUGUAAAGUUCUAGAUAAAAAAUUGAUAAUGACUAAGUUUUAUCUAUAAGUCUUGACCAAAUUAUGUGCCAGCAGUCGCGGUAAUACAUAGAAGACAAGUGUUAUUCAUCUUUAACAGGUUUAAAGGGUACCUAGACGGGAAAUCAAGCCAUAGUAGGGACUAAUUUCCUAGAGUUUCAUAAGUUAAGAUCGAACUUACCGAGGAGCGAUAAAAUGCGUAGGAUAUGGUAAUGACGGGUAGCAGCGAAGGCAUUCUUAUAUGUAGAAACUGACGUUGAGGAACGAAGCCCUGGGUAGCAAUAAGGAUUAGAUACCCUAGUAGUCCAGGGAGAAAAUUAUGAGUGCCAUAGACUAGAAACUAGUUUAUAAAUGAAAGUGUAAGCAUUCCACCUCAUGAGUAAAGCGGCAACGCCGAAAUUGAAAUCAUUAGACCGUUUCUGAAACCAGUAGUGAAGUAUGUUAUUUAAUUCGAUGGUCCGCGAAUAACCUUACCACCUCUUGAAUAUUUUUACAAGCGCUGCACGGCUGUCUUCAGUUAAUGUCGUGAGAUCUGGUUUGUUCCUUUAAUUAACGAAAACCCUGGUUUUAUUUUUAUAUAAAGCAUUUUUAUAUAUACAUUAGUAUAGAAUAAAGGGGAUCAAGACAAGU
rnacentral:rRNA from 1 species